GACGAACGCUGGCGGCGUGCUUAACACAUGCAAGUCGAACGGAAAGGCCCUUCGGGGUACUCGAGUGGCGAACGGGUGAGUAACACGUGGGUGAUCUGCCCUGCACUUUGGGAUAAGCCUGGGAAACUGGGUCUAAUACCGGAUAGGACCACGCGCUUCAUGGUGUGUGGUGGAAAGCUUUUGCGGUGUGGGAUGGGCCCGCGGCCUAUCAGCUUGUUGGUGGGGUAAUGGCCUACCAAGGCGACGACGGGUAGCCGGCCUGAGAGGGUGACCGGCCACACUGGGACUGAGAUACGGCCCAGACUCCUACGGGAGGCAGCAGUGGGGAAUAUUGCACAAUGGGCGCAAGCCUGAUGCAGCGACGCCGCGUGAGGGAUGACGGCCUUCGGGUUGUAAACCUCUUUCAAUAGGGACGAAGCGCAAGUGACGGUACCUAUAGAAGAAGGACCGGCCAACUACGUGCCAGCAGCCGCGGUAAUACGUAGGGUCCGAGCGUUGUCCGGAAUUACUGGGCGUAAAGAGCUCGUAGGUGGUUUGUCGCGUUGUUCGUG
rnacentral:rRNA from 3 species